AUACAGAUUAGCAAAGAACAUGAAAAGUAUGUACUUUAAUAUGAAGAAACUAACUGCUAGAGUCUGAGAGAAGAAUAAAAAAACGAGCUGCUGGAGGAAAUUGGCAGGUCAAGCAGCAUCUGUAGAAAGAAAUAGAGAGUUGGCAUUUUAGAUCAUACUGGAUUUGUACCCAAGUAUAUUAUUUUGGAAUCCAUUAUGGUAUGUACUGUAUGUGCACAUCUGUGAGAUUUGCCCUGUGAUCUGCUAUGACAAUUCUAAUGUGUUAUUAUUCCAGCUGUGUCUACAAGUUAAUUGAUUAAUUCUAUCCCACCAUUCACAACUGGUUGUGGUAGACCAUGGAGCUUUGAUCUGAUCUGCUCAUUGGAAACUGCCUUGCCUGCCCCAAGCAUUUUUAUUUUACUGAUAGCAAUCAUGCAGUCCUGUGCCACAGUUUUACUAGGCUGGUACUUUUUUAGAUGCUGCUCUUGGCAUGCCUUUCUGCACUCCUAAGCCAGAUAAAAAUGGUUGAGGAAAGUACUGAGCCAUUUCUCACAGUCUCAUGGACAUCAUUUUGGAGAUGUCAGGCCUGUUCUGAGUUUAAUGUACCUAGCACAAUUAUAAUGCCACCUAACAUGAUGGGGUGGGAGAACUUGAUGUGAUGAUGUGAUAUUGGCUCCCCAUAAGUACUGUUCAAUAGUCACUUCCACCAAUGCUAUCAAGGAGAGAUGCAUCCAUCACAGUUAGACUGGUAAAGGUGAGGUCAAAUAGGUACAUCCCUCCUGUUUGGUCACUCACCACCUCCCACACAUUCAUGCGACAGCUGUGUCUCUCAGGAUUCAGCCAGCUCAGUUCAUGAUGGUGCUAUGAAGCCACUGUUGCUGAUGGACAUUGAAGUCCCCCGCCAAGAGCACGUUCCAUGUAUUUGUAACUUUGUGGUUUCUCCCCCAAACGUUCAACAUGGAGAAGCACUGAGGGAAGAUGACAGGUGGAAAUCAGAAGGCAGUUUAUUUGCUCAUGUUUCUGGUGCCAUGAGACUUCAGAGGGUUUGCCAUCAAUGUUGAGAACACCAAGGUUUGCUCUUUGCUGCCUCUGUACCACUACUUCUGACAGGCCUGUCUUGCUGUUGAGACAGGAUUAUGGUGGAGGACAUAUUGCCUAUUACGUAUGCUUCUGAAUCAUAAUCAGGUUUAAUAUCACUGACAUAAAUCAUGAAAUGUAGUGUUGUGGUGUAAUGCUUACAAAUAUAGAUUACAAUAAGAAACAUAAAAAUAAAUAAUUAGUGCAAAAAUAGUGAAGGAAUAUCCAUGGAUUCAUGGACAAUUCAGAAAUCUGAUGGUGGAGAGGAAGAAGCUGUGGAAUAGCUGAUAAUCUGGACAUCUGAUAAUUUGUGAGGAGCAAGUUUGCUGUGUCCAUCAGUGUAUGGGUAGAGGUCAGACGUUCACCUAGUUUUGCCCUUUCUCUAUUUUAACAUAGAUUGCUGGGCCACCUAAAAGUCAAUCCACGCUCCAUGAGCCAGACAAGGUUACUACAUCUGGGAAGAGUUGACAAGACUGAAGGUCAAGUGCCUCACACUGACAUUUCAACAGCUGCUCCUCUUCCUCUGCUAUUGUUGGAAAUAAGCUUUGGUAGCCAUCCAUUGAUGAGUCGAAAUGUACAAUGGGGCACCUUGCAGCAAUUAAUUCCAAGCACCUUCAUGUACAGCUUAGUCUGACCUUACUACUGCAGCUUAGUGGAUGGAGAACAGUACAAGAGGUAAAGCCUUCAACUACUAACAUACUUAACUCAGUAAACAGUUUUCUUUAAAAUUAAAUGGUUAAGAAUCCAACUCCCCACAUUGUGAAUUAAAGCUCUAUGUACAUUGUUAUUUUGAUUCAUGGUUAGAAAGAUGACAGCUUUCAUGCAAUGGUUUUAAAACAGUCCCUUGAAUGGUAGUUUGCUGCAUGUACCAGUCUGUGGUUUCCUCACAGACUAUGACCGUCAGUGCCCAGCUAUGGUGUUAAGCUGACAUAUUAAACUUCUGCCUUGAAUGCAAUUUGUGUUGUCCAGUGACUUGUAAAGGAAAGUGGAUUUUGUUGAUUGCAGGUUUUGGACAUAAAUUCCUCUAGAGGUGGAAUUUGGACUAAGGUACUACAAUCUUCGAAUACGUAGCUUAGAGAUUUACAAUAUUGGGAUUUGGAACUAUCUCUGUCAAAAGUCAAUUGACAAUUUCAAGACUCAGCUCAUCAGAUUUGUAUCAGGCUGAGCACUAGGGGUAGGUAUUAAAUACCUGAUAAAGGGAGCUGGGGUACA